rnacentral:rRNA from 1 species
CCUACGGGAGGCUGCAGUGAGGAAUAUUGGUCAAUGGUCGGGAGACUGAACCAGCCAAGCCGCGUGCGGGAGGAAGGUACAGAGUAUCGUAAACCUCUUUUGUCAGGGAACAAAGACUGGGACGCGUCCCCGGAUGAGUGUACCUGAAGAAAAAGCAUCGGCUAACUCCGUGCCAGCAGCCGCGGUAAUACGGAGGAUGCGAGCGUUAUCCGGAUUUAUUGGGUUUAAAGGGUGCGCAGGCGGUCUGUUAGGACAGCUGUCAAAGCCCGGGGCUCAACCCCGGCCCGCCGGUGAAACGGGCAGUCUCGAGUUGGAGAGAAGUAUGCGGAAUGCGCGGUGUAGCGGUGAAAUGCAUAGAUAUCGCGCAGAACUCCGAGUGCGAAGGCAGCAUGCCGGCUCCACACUGACGCUGAGGCACGAAAGCGUGGGUAUCGAACAGGAUUAGAUACCCCAGUAGUC